CAAAUCAUUAGUAUUGUUGAGUUUCUUUUUUUGUGAUGUCCAUUUGACGGCUAAAACCGAUUAUCGUUGAGUUUAUUUCCGAACUAAACUAAUUAAAACCGUGUUAGCGAGCAGUAAAGUAAUCUAAAGCUUUUGUACCACACGGAAAUCGGAGGAAGCAUAAGCGUAACUUUGUGUUACUUUGUACAGUGAUUCAUUCGAGUAAUAGAGAGCGAAGGAAAAACACGGAGUAACCAGGACAAGAGUGAUAUCGUUAGGAGCGAGGAAACUAUUUUGAUUUCAAAUCACCGACGCUGGCUGUCAAGAUCGAGGUCAAGAUCAUGACGACGCUAACCAGAGAUACUGUUUCUGACAAAAACAAAACAGUCAGCGCCUUGAAGACGCACAUAAAAGGCAAAGUUUCUUUUAUUUAAUAUUUCGCGAUCGGACAUCUGCCGCGGCCUUCGAGGAGUCUUUAAGAAAACGCCUGCAUAAAGGACAAAUUAGAAACUCAAAACAUCUACGAGGGAUGCUACCAGUUCUGACGAGAAUGGCUGGUGGUCAAAUUUUAAUAUGCUCAGCGAGACAGCCCCAACGACGACGACCAAUGUAUUCGCAGAAAAAUACCAAGAAGAUAUGUACCGAAUAACGGCGGAAGAUCUUUUCGGAAAAAGUCGAGACUGGAGAUCUUUACAGUUUCUUACGAAACCUACGAGCGCUGUUCGUCACUCCCAGCUACAUGAAUCUUGGCCCCGUUUUAAAUUAUCGGCGUUUACAAAAACAACGAUUUCUUAUAAAAAAAAUAUG